CUUAUAUUUACAAGAUUUAGUUUGUAUAUUUAUUUACAGUGCAAGGGAGGCAACUUAAAUUUUGAUUUUUUUGACCAGCUGGCCCAAUAAGUAGAUGUUUAAAUUUGUAUAAAGUGAUUUGUAUUCAAAGAAUUUAUUUUUUAUUGAAGAAAUCAGUUUUUCAUUGUUGUAGAAAGUUAGUUAAAUUAACAUAAAAUUUAGUUAUUCUUAGUUUAGAACAGUUAUAAAUAAUUUGUGAAUAAUUAUAUAAAUUUGAUACUACAUGUAAAUGUAAAAAAGAUUAAGUGAACAUUUAUAAACAUUGUGCUUGUGGGUUUUGGUCAUUAACAUUAAUAUAUAAUUACAACUCUUCCUUUUAUUUUAUCAUUAAAGAUGUUACAUGAAACAAAUCCCUUACAAGAUUAUAUCAAAAGUAUAAAAAAUAUGUAAAAAAUAUGUGUACAUAAUCUAUUACUUGACUUCAGGAUUGAGAAGGAGAAGUUACAUAUACAUGUAUAAUCAGUGGAAGGGAGACAACUCAUAUUUUGAUCCCUUGACCAACUAUUCAGACAUAUUUUAUAAUCCAUGUUAUUAUGAAAUGUGAAGAAAGUACAGUUUCCGAUGGCAUUUUUCAGACAGAAAUUUGUGUUGGAAUGAUGGCGAUCUCUUCUAUCAGUAACAGAAUGAGAAGUGACCAGCGAUCAGGUUCGAGUGUUCCAGCAAUCUGUGUUCUAGCGAUCCGAGGUACAACAAUAUACAUGUAUAAUACAUAGGAAGUUGGCAAAGACUGGGCAAUGAGGUCGAGCCAAGGGAGGUAUUCAAGCGAUUCAAGGACAAGCUAACAAAGUUCAACUGUAAAUAUGUAAUUUAGUUAUUUCAUGAAGGAAAGCUGACUGGUACCAAAAUUGCCCAUUUGAAAGCAAAGUACACAGAGUUUUUACAUGAAAUACUUAAAAAUACCCGGGAGAAUGAGACUUGUUUGUUGUCUCAGACAAAAGAAUGCUCUGCUGAACUUGAUCGUCAAUGUAUAGAGUUAGAGAAAGCUGACAAUUUUACCAAUGGUUCAAACACAGAGGUUUUAAAGAUGAGACAACAACUGUUUAAGUAUAACAAUGACUUGAAACAAACGCAAGAAAGGCAGUACCAGCUGGAAUAUCAAAUAGAA